CAGAACCUGAAACCAGCAGCUUACAAACGGUCGAAGGCCUAUGUCCUCUUAGAGGAAAUGGCUGACGGCGUGCCUUCUGCAUGAUGAGCCAGCGAGUUACACUAAAUGGCAAAGUUAAAGGACAUCCGUUCUGGAGCCGAAGCGAAAGCGAGUGUUAAAAGCGCGCAUUAGUCAUUUGGUGUAGACACGAAACCGAGUCAUCUAUCCAUGACCAGGUUGAAGCAAGGGUAACACCUUGUGGAGGACCGAACUAGUAACUGUUGAAAAAGUUUUGGAUGAGUUGUGGAUAGGGGUGAAAGGCCAAUCAAACUCGGAGAUAUCUUGUUCUCUUCGAAAUAACUUUCGGGUUAGCCACGGACAAUUCUUUGCAGGGGUAGAGCACUGAAUUCCCGCGGGGGCCUACCGGCCUACCAAAGGAAAUCAAACUCCGAAUACUGCAAAGUCGUCCGGGAGAUAGACAGUGGGGGAUAAGCUUCAUUUGUCAAAAGGGAAACAGCCCAGACCUACAGCUAAGGUCCCAAAGUAUAGUUAAGUGGAAAAGGAUGUGGAAUUGCAUAGACAACCAGGAUGUUGGCUUAGAAGCAGCCACUCAUAAAAAGAGUGCGUAAUAGCUCACUGGUCGAGUGAUUCUGCGCCGAAAAUUUAACGGGGCUAAACUAUACACCAAAGCUUAGGAUACCGCAAGGUAUGGUAGGAGAGCGUUCUGUACGGAGUGAAGUCGUAGCGAAAGCGGCGGUGGACUGUACAGAAGUGAGAAUGCCGGAAUAAGUAGCGAGAAUUAAGUGAGAAUCUUAAUGGCCGAAAGUCUAAGGUUUUUGGAGGAAGGUUCGUCCGCUCCAAGUAAGUCGGGAGCUAAGGUCAGGCCGAAAGGCGUAGCCGAUGCACAAACGGUUGAUAUUCCGUUACCGUCUACAAUUUAAACAAAGGGACACAUACAAAGCGUUUAACCCGGGCGAUGGUUGACCCGGGCGCAAGGGACUGAAAUUAGAGUAGGGAAGUAAAUGUGGCGUAUGGCGAGAAAAGCUUUGUGUAUAGAAGUAGACGCCCGUACCGCAAACCGACACAGGUGGACAGGAAGAGAAUUCUAAGGCCAGCGGGAGAAGGGUAGUUAAGGAACUCGGCAAAUUGACUCCGUAACUUCGGAAUAAGGAGUGCUCGAAAGAGCCGCAGAGAAUAGGCCCAGGCGACUGUUUAGCAAAAACACAGGUCUCUGCCAAAUCGAAAGAUGAAGUAUAGGGGCUGACACCUGCCCGGUGCCGGAAGGUUAAGAGGAGGAGUGCAAGCUCCGAAUUGAAGCCCCGGUAAACGGCGGCCGUAACUAUAACGGUCCUAAGGUAGCGAAAUUCCUUGUCGGGUAAGUUCCGACCCGCACGAAUGGUGUAACGAUCUGGGCACUGUCUCAACUACCCACCCGGCGAAAUUGUAGUACCGGUGAAGAUGCCGGUUACCUGCGGCAAGACGGAAAGACCCCAUG
rnacentral:rRNA from 1 species